UUUUUUUCAUGAAAUUAAUAGAACUUUAUAUUCUCUUGAUAAAUCUACAAGAAAAGUGAUCUAUAUUCAUCUGCCUCUUGAGCCAUCUCCUCUAUACUUCUGUCUUUCCUUUCCUUGUCUAAAUCUAGCUUUUUCUUUAAUUCCUUCUCCCUCUCAUCGAUUGCAUCAUAGAUCUCAUCAUUACUCUCAAAGUCUCCGCCUUUCCUUGGGAGGAUGUGGAUAUGAACAUGGGGCACUGUCUGUCCUGCCUGGGGACCAUCUUGAAUUGUAAAAGUAAGAGAUGUUGCAUGGUGGUGGCUCU
rnacentral:misc_RNA from 1 species